rnacentral:rRNA from 1 species
UGAAUACGAGACGCUAAGGCGUCGAAGUAGUGUAUGUCAUGCUUCCAAGAAAAGCUUGCACUGUCAUAGAUAAAAAACGCCUGUACCAUAACCGACACAGGUGGGUAGGUAGAGUAUACUAAGGGGCGCGAGAUAACUCUCUCUAAGGAACUCGGCAAAAUAACUCCGUAACUUCGGGAGAAGGAGUGCCUUAUUCUUAAGGUUGCAAUAACAAGAUCCAAGCAACUGUUUAUCAAAAACACAGGUCUCCGCUAAGUCGUAAGACGAUGUAUGGGGGCUGACGCCUGCCCAGUGCCAGAAGGUUAAAGAAGUUGGUUAGCAUUUGCGAAGCUGAUAACUGAAGCCCUGGUGAACGGCGGCCGUAACAAUAACGGUCCUAAGGUAGCGAAAUUCCUUGUCGGGUAAGUUCCGACCCGCACGAAAGGCGUAAUGAUUUGGAUACUGUCUCGGAGAGGGGCUCGGUGAAAUAGACUUGUCUGUGAAGAUGCGGACUACCUGCACCAGGACAGAAAGACCCUAUGAAGCUUUACUGUAACUUGAAAUUGAAAUUGGACUUUAUUCGCGCAGCAUAGGUGGGAGGCGUUGAUUAUAAUCUCGUGGGAUUAUUGGAGCCAUCAGUGAGAUACCACUCUUGUAAUGUUAGAUUUCUAACUUUGAAUCAUUAUCUGGUCAAAGAACAGUUUCAGGCGGGCAGUUUGACUGGGGCGGUCGCCUCCUAAACGGUAACGGAGGCGUACAAAGGUUUCCUCUGAACGGUUAGAAAUCGUAUCUAGAGUGUAAAGGCAUAAGGAAGCUUGACUGUGAGACCUACAAGUCGAGCAGGGACGAAAGUCGGUCUUAGUGAUCUGACGGUACUGAGUGGAAAGGCCGUCACUCAACGGAUAAAAGUUACUCUAGGAUAACAGGCUGAUCUCCCCCAAGAGUUCACAUCGACGGGGAGGUUUGGCACCUCGAUGUCGGCUCAUCGCAUCCUGGGGCGGUAGUACGUCCCAAGGGUUGGGCUGUUCGCCCAUGAAAGCGGUACGCGAGCUGGGUUCAGAACGUCGUGAGACAGUUCGGUCCAUAUCCGGUGUAGGCGUUAGAAUAUUGAGAGGAGCCUUCUUUAGUACGAGAGGACCGAGAAGGACAUACCUCUGGUGUACCAGUUAUCGUGCCAACGGUAAACGCUGGGUAGCUAUGUAUGGAGUGGAUAACCGCUGAAAGCAUCUAAGUGGGAAGCCCACCUCAAGAUAAGUA